GAUGAACGCUGGCGGCGUGCCUAAUACAUGCAAGUCGAGCGAACAGACGAGGAGCUUGCUCCUCUGACGUUAGCGGCGGACGGGUGAGUAACACGUGGAUAACCUACCUAUAAGACUGGGAUAACUUCGGGAAACCGGAGCUAAUACCGGAUAAUAUAUUGAACCGCAUGGUUCAAUAGUGAAAGACGGUUUUGCUGUCACUUAUAGCUGGAUCCGCGCCGCAUUAGCUAGUUGGUAAGGUAACGGCUUACCAAGGCAACGAUGCGUAGCCGACCUGAGAGGGUGAUCGGCCACACUGGAACUGGGACACGGUCCAGACUCCUACGGGAGGCAGCAGUAGGGAAUCUUCCGCAAUGGGCGAAAGCCUGACGGAGCAACGCCGCGUGAGUGAUGAAGGUCUCCGGAUCGUAAAACUCUGUUAUUAGGGAAGAACAAAUGUGUAAGUAACUAUGCACGUCUUGACGGUACCUAAUCAGAAAGCCACGGCUAACUACGUG
rnacentral:rRNA from 1 species